CCUACGGGAGACAGCAGUGGGGAAUAUUGGGCAAUGGAGGCAACUCUGACCCAGCAACGCCGCGUGAAUGCUGAAGGUCUUCGGAUUGUCAAGUUCUGUGAUGGGGGAUGAACACAAUGACGGUCCCCCAAUAUCAAGCCACGGCUAACUACGUGCCAGCAGCCGCGGUACUACGUAGGUGGCAAGCGUUAUCCGGAAUGACUGGGCGUAAAGGGUGCGUAGGGGGUUUAGUAAGUUGGCGGUGUAAUUCCGGGGCUCAACCUCGGCGCUACCGCCAAAACUAUUAGACGAGAGUGCAGGAGGGGUAAGUGGAAUUCCUAGUGUAGCGGUGGAAUGCGUAGAUAUCAGGAGGAACAUCAGGGGCGAAGGCGACUUACUGGACUGUAACUGACACUGAGGCACGAAAGCGUGGGGAGCAAACAGGAUUAGAUACCCUAGUAGUC
rnacentral:rRNA from 1 species